CGAAAAAAACCCACAUCUUUUUUUAUUUUUAGAGGCAAAAUGAACAAAUUGCUGUUUUCCUUGCAGUCAGAGCAUCCAAGCAGUUUUUCAUCAGUGGUAAAAGAAAAAGGAGACAGUUGAUGUUGAGGACCCUCUUUCUCUGCCACUUGCUUCUUUCUUCACAGCUUUCGGUAAACAAGGUUCUUUUAAAGCUGUACCAGCCAAGCUGAGUGAGAGAGAAGGUGUAAACAUCAGGGUUGAAAUGAAACUCGAAAACCACUGAGAAAAGAAAUGGGGAAGAUAUUUUGAAAGGACGCGAUGCAGACUGGCGAUAGACCCUUAUGCGCUGAGUGCAUUUUACCUGGAAAGGAGCCUGGGCUUCCGAGCAAGUUACCUUGGAACUGCAAGAUAACUGCAUUAACAUUGUGUAAGUGCAACUUACAACAGCACUAAGUUAGCAGAAGGAAAAUGUACUUGGGAGCCUAGCCAAAGAAGGGAGCCAACAAAAGAGAAGAAAAAAAGAAAAGACAUUGCAGCCCCUGAAGACAGGACCAGUGUUUGCAGACCCCAGGGACAUCAUCUCAGAGGCAAAUAAGCAGGACCAGAGUGUCAUCGACUCCUCCUUGCACGGCAACCCUAUUUCCACGAAGAACACGUUUGAUGAGUUAAAAAGCUUGGCUUUACUCAGAAUGAAUCUGAUCUCAGACAUCUGUCGGAAUCUGAGCAGGAAUGACAAAUAAUUGAGAAAGGUCUCCCUGAGUCAAGCAAAUAUCUGAAGACUUGGAUCAUGGAAAAUCUGCCCUGUAUUAAACUUGGACUAAAGGGAAAAUUUUCUCUUUUGAUUUGGGCUUGAGAUUCAACAUCCAGUUUGAAAAACAUAAAUGUAUAUCAGAACACUGUUUUAUUAAAAAUAUAUCUGCUCAUAGUUAGAGCUGAGAAUAUAAUCUAAGGCAAGUUUUUAAAAACAAUUUUUUUUUUUUAAAAAAGCAAGUAACUUAGAAGCUAUUAUAAAGCACAGCCUAGCAAACUUUGGGUUUUGGGUUCUCCUUAACUGACAUCUGUAAGAAAAACUAAGGGUUCUCUCUUUCAUAUUUAAUAAUUCAGGCAUGGUGAAACAUGUAAUGAGUUAUUUUCUCUAGGAAUGGAAAUAGACUUUUGGUGAGCCAUUGAUGGGGCUAAGUCAAACAUCCUCAUCCCAGGGGCU